GCAACUUUAGUUUAUUUAGAAUGGCAGUUUGUCUAACUGUAGGUGGUGUUAAUCAAGUUGCU
rnacentral:tRNA from 1 species